ensembl:miRNA
UUAAGACUUGCAGUGAUGUUUAGGGCAUUGAUCACAUGAACAUCACUUUAAGUCUGUGCUG